rnacentral:rRNA from 1 species
AGCGAACGCUGGCGGCAGGCCUAACACAUGCAAGUCGAACGAACCCUUCGGGGUUAGUGGCGGACGGGUGAGUAACACGUGGGAAAGUGACUUUAGGUUCGGAAUAACUCAGGGAAACUUGUGCUAAUACCGAACGUGCCCUUCGGGGGAAAGAUUUAUCGCCAUUAGAGCGGCCCGCGUCUGAUUAGCGAGUUGGUGAGGUAAUGGCUCACCAAGGCUACGAUCAGUAGCUGGUCUGAGAGGAUUACCAGCCACAUUGGGACUGAGACACGGCCCAAACUCCUACGGGAGGCAGCAGUGGGGAAUCUUGCGCAAUGGGCGAAAGCCUGACGCAGCCAUGCCGCGUGGAUGAUGAAGGUCUUAGGAUUGUAAAAUCCUUUCACCGGUGAAGAUAAUGACUGUAGCCGGAGAAGAAGCCCCGGCUAACUUCGUGCCAGCCGCCGCCGUAAUAC